UUUAGUUGCAGUGGGGGAGGUCUAAGCUGGAUUUUAGCAAGGCAGGAAGCUGGACACUAUUUCACUAGGCAGGUGGUGAAGCAUUGGAAUGGGUUACCUAGGGAGGUGGUGGAAUCUCCUUCCUUAGUAGUUUUUAAGGCCCAGCUUGACAAAGCCCUGGCUGGGAUGAUUUAGUUGGUGUUGGUCCUGCUUUGAGCAGGGGAUUGGACUAGAUGA